rnacentral:rRNA from 1 species
CCUACGGGUGGCAGCAGUGGGGAAUAUUGGACAAUGGGGGGAACCCUGAUCCAGCCAUGCCGCGUGUGUGAAGAAGGCCCUCGGGUUGUAAAGCACUUUCAGUGAGGAAGAACGCCUGGUGGUUAAUACCCAUCAGGAAAGACAUCACUCACAGAAGAAGCACCGACUAACUCCGUGCCAGCAGCCGCGGUAAUACGGAGGGUGCGAGCGUUAAUCGGAAUUACUGGGCGUAAAGCGCGCGUAGGUGGCUUGAUAAGCCGGUUGUGAAAGCCCCGGGCUCAACCUGGGAACGGCAUCCGGAACUGUCAAGCUAGAGUGCAGGAGAGGAAGGUAGAAUUCCCGGUGUAGCGGUGAAAUGCGUAGAGAUCGGGAGGAAUACCAGUGGCGAAGGCGGCCUUCUGGACUGACACUGACACUGAGGUGCGAAAGCGUGGGUAGCAAACAGGAUUAGAUACCCCGGUAGUC